rnacentral:rRNA from 1 species
UACGAAGGGGGCUAGCGUUGCUCGGAAUCACUGGGCGUAAAGGGCGCGUAGGCGGUUCGUACAGUCAGACGUGAAAUUCCUGGGCUCAACCUGGGGGCUGCGUUUGAUACGUGCGGACUUGAGUGCGGAAGAGGGUCGUGGAAUUCCCAGUGUAGAGGUGAAAUUCGUAGAUAUUGGGAAGAACACCGGUGGCGAAGGCGGCGACCUGGUCCGAUACUGACGCUGAGGCGCGAAAGCGUGGGGAGCAAACAGG